rnacentral:rRNA from 1 species
CAGUCGCCACGGGAAUACAGAGGGUGCGAGCGUUAAUCGGAUUUACUGGGCGUAAAGCGUGCGUAGGCGGCUUCUUAAGUCGGAUGUGAAAUCCCUGAGCUUAACUUAGGAAUUGCAUUCGAUACUGGGAAGCUAGAGUAUGGGAGAGGAUGGUAGAAUUCCAGGUGUAGCGGUGAAAUGCGUAGAGAUCUGGAGGAAUACCGAUGGCGAAGGCAGCCAUCUGGCCUAAUACUGACGCUGAGGUACGAAAGCAUAGGGAGCAAACAGGAUUAGAUACCCCCGUAGUCCCUGUCUCUUAUAA